rnacentral:rRNA from 1 species
GAUGAACGCUGGCGGCGUGCCUAAUACAUGCAAGUCGAGCGAACACACGAGAAGCUUGCUCUUCUGCCGGUAGCGGCGGACGGGCGAGUAACACGUAGAUCACCUACCUAUAAUACUGGGAUAACAUCGGGAAACAAGAGCCAAUAAUGCAUCAUAUAUUCUACCGCUUGGUUCAAUAGUGAAAGACGGUUUUGCUGUCACUAAUAGAUGGAUCCGUGUCGGAUUAGCUAGUUGGUAAGGUAACGGCCUACCAAGGCGACGAUGCGUAGCCGACCUGAGAGGGUGAUCAGCCACACUGGAACUGAGACACGGUCCAGACUCCUACGGGAGGCAGCAGUGGGGAAUCUUCGACAAUGGGCGAAAGCCUGACGGAGCAACGCCGCGUGGGUGAUGAAGGUCUUCGGAUCGUAAAGCUCUGUUGUUGGGAAAGAAAAGAUGUAUGUGAAUCUACGGACGUUUUGACGGUACCCAAUGAGUAAGCCACGGCUAACUACGUG